rnacentral:rRNA from 1 species
AAUGAACGCUGGCGGCACGCCUAACACAUGCAAGUCGAACGAAGGCUUCGGCCUUAGUGGCGCACGGGUGCGUAACGCGUGGGAAUCUGCCCUCAGGUUCGGAAUAACAGCGAGAAAUUGCUGCUAAUACCGGAUGAUAUCGCGAGAUCAAAGAUUUAUCGCCUGAGGAUGAGCCCGCGUAGGAUUAGCUAGUUGGUGUGGUAAAGGCGCACCAAGGCGACGAUCCUUAGCUGGUCUGAGAGGAUGAUCAGCCACACUGGGACUGAGACACGGCCCAGACUCCUACGGGAGGCAGCAGUGGGGAAUAUUGGACAAUGGGCGAAAGCCUGAUCCAGCAAUGCCGCGUGAGUGAUGAAGGCCUUAGGGUUGUAAAGCUCUUUUACCCGGGAUGAUAAUGACAGUACCGGGAGAAUAAGCUCCGGCUAACUCCGUGCCAGCAGCCGCGGUAAUACGGAGGGAGCUAGCGUUAUUCGGAAUUACUGGGCGUAAAGCGCACGUAGGCGGCUUUGUAAGUUAGAGGUGAAAGCCUGGAGCUCAACUCCAGAAUUGCCUUUAAGACUGCAUCGCUUGAAUCCAGGAGAGGUGAGUGGAAUUCCGAGUGUAGAGGUGAAAUUCGUAGAUAUUCGGAAGAACACCAGUGGCGAAGGCGGCUCACUGGACUGGUAUUGACGCUGAGGUGCGAAAGCGUGGGGAGCAAACAGG